ensembl:processed_transcript predicted gene 29103
AACCUGGAGAUUUAAAAGGCGCCCGCUGGCGCGCGUUGGGAAAGCAGGGGUCCGAGCUCGCACGCGCCAGCCCCAGGUGACAGCCGCGCGCCGGGCCAGGAUCCCACCGAUGAGGUGUGUCUCCAUCAAGCAAGGCACUAGAUGGUGACGUGUUUAGCGUGGGAUCAGAUGCCGAAUUGUCACUAAAGGGCUGGCAGAAAUGGAAACCUGGCUGCACCCUAGGAGGUUAGUGCUAGUGAGGAGGAGAAGCCACGGCAGGGCUGAUUCAAAGCAGUUGUGGAGUAUGUGAGUGGCCCCUGGAGCCCUACCUGCCCUGUCCAUCAUGAUCCAGAGGCUAUGGGCCAGCCGUCUGCUACGGCACCGGAAAGCUCAACUCCUGCUGGUCAACCUGCUCACCUUUGGCCUGGAGGUGUGCCUGGCUGCCGGCAUUACCUAUGUGCCACCCCUUCUGCUGGAAGUCGGGGUAGAGGAGAAAUUCAUGACCAUGGUGUUGGCCCCUUGCUAUGGACAGUGCCGUCACUCUCUGGCAGUUCCUUCUCCAGCUCCUGCAGGAGCCUCAGAAUGAGCACAUGAUCUGCUGGACAUCUAACAAUGGGGA